rnacentral:rRNA from 1 species
GUAACACGUAGUCAACCUGCCCUGGAGACAUGGACAACCCCGGGAAACUGGGAUUAAUCCGUGAUAGGUCAUCUCAUCUGGAAGGAGAGAUGGCUUAAAGGGGUACGCGGGCUUCUUCUGCGUAUUCGCUCCAGGAUGGGACUGCGUCCGAUCAGGCUGUUGGCGGGGUAAUGGCCCACCAAACCUGUAACCGGUACGGGCCUUGAGAGAGGUGGCCCGGAGAUGAACACUGAGAGAAGGGUCCAGGUCCUACGGGGCGCAGCAGGCGCGAAACCUUCGCAAUGCGCGAAAGCGUGACGAGGUUAAUCCGAGUGGCCCCCGCUGAGGGGGUCUUUUGUCAGCUGUAAAUAGGCGGGCGAAUAAGGGGAGGGCAAGCCUGGUGUCAGCCGCCGCGGUAAUACCAGCUCCUCGAGUGGUCGGGGCGAUUAUUGGGCCUAAAGCAUCCGUAGCCGGUUCCGUAGGUCCUCUGUUAAAUCCACCCGCUUAACGGGUGACCUGCAGAGGAUACCGCGGGACU